GGGUUGUGAGGUUAAGCGACUAAGCGUACACGGUGGAUGCCCUGGCAGUCAGAGGCGAUGAAGGACGUGCUAAUCUGCGAAAAGCGUCGGUAAGGUGAUAUGAACCGUUAUAACCGGCGAUGUCCGAAUGGGGAAACCCAGUGCAAUUCGUUGCACUAUCGUUAACUGAAUACAUAGGUUAACGAGGCGAACCGGGGGAACUGAAACAUCUAAGUACCCCGAGGAAAAGAAAUCAACCGAGAUUCCCCCAGUAGCGGCGAGCGAACGGGGAGCAGCCCAGAGUCUGAAUCAGCUUGUGUGUUAGUGGAACGGUCUGGAAAGUCCGACGGUACAGGGUGAUAGUCCCGUACACCAAAAUGCACAGGCUGUGAACUCGAAGAGUAGGGCGGGACACGUGGUAUCCUGUCUGAAUAUGGGGGGACCAUCCUCCAAGGCUAAAUACUCCUGACUGACCGAUAGUGAACCAGUACCGUGAGGGAAAGGCGAAAAGAACCCCGGCGAGGGGAGUGAAAAAGAACCUGAAACCGUGUACGUACAAGCAGUGGGAGCACCUUCGGGUGUGACUGCGUACCUUUUGUAUAAUGGGUCAGCGACUUAUAUUCUGUAGCAAGGUUAACCGUAUAGGGGAGCCGCAGGGAAACCGAGUCUUAACUGGGCGUUAAGUUGCAGGGUAUAGACCCGAAACCCGGUGAUCUAGCCAUGGGCAGGUUGAAGGUUGGGUAACACUAACUGGAGGACCGAACCGACUAAUGUUGAAAAAUUAGCGGAUGACUUGUGGCUGGGGGUGAAAGGCCAAUCAAACCGGGAGAUAGCUGGUUCUCCCCGAAAGCUAUUUAGGUAGCGCCUCGUGAACUCAUCUUCGGGGGUAGAGCACUGUUUCGGCUAGGGGGUCAUCCCGACUUACCAACCCGAUGCAAACUACGAAUACCGAAGAAUGUUAUCACGGGAGACACACGGCGGGUGCUAACGUCCGUCGUGAAGAGGGAAACAACCCAGACCGCCAGCUAAGGUCCCAAAGUCAUGGUUAAGUGGGAAACGAUGUGGGAAGGCACAGACAGCCAGGAUGUUGGCUUAGAAGCAGCCAUCAUUUAAAGAAAGCGUAAUAGCUCACUGGUCGAGUCGGCCUGCGCGGAAGAUGUAACGGGGCUAAACCAUGCACCGAAGCUGCGGCAGCGACACUAUGUGUUGUUGGGUAGGGGAGCGUUCUGUAAGCCUGCGAAGGUGUGCUGUGAGGCAUGCUGGAGGUAUCAGAAGUGCGAAUGCUGACAUAAGUAACGAUAAAGCGGGUGAAAAGCCCGCUCGCCGGAAGACCAAGGGUUCCUGUCCAACGUUAAUCGGGGCAGGGUGAGUCGACCCCUAAGGCGAGGCCGAAAGGCGUAGUCGAUGGGAAACAGGUUAAUAUUCCUGUACUUGGUGUUACUGCGAAGGGGGGACGGAGAAGGCUAUGUUAGCCGGGCGACGGUUGUCCCGGUUUAAGCAUGUAGGCUGGUUAUCCAGGCAAAUCCGGAUAAUCAAGGCUGAGGUGUGAUGACGAGGCACUACGGUGCUGAAGUAACAAAUGCCCUGCUUCCAGGAAAAGCCUCUAAGCAUCAGGUAACAUCAAAUCGUACCCCAAACCGACACAGGUGGUCAGGUAGAGAAUACCAAGGCGCUUGAGAGAACUCGGGUGAAGGAACUAGGCAAAAUGGUGCCGUAACUUCGGGAGAAGGCACGCUGGUGUGUAGGUGAAGUCCCUGCGGAUGGAGCUGAGACCAGUCGAAGAUACCAGCUGGCUGCAACUGUUUAUUAAAAACACAGCACUGUGCAAACACGAAAGUGGACGUAUACGGUGUGACGCCUGCCCGGUGCCGGAAGGUUAAUUGAUGGGGUUAUCCGUAAGGAGAAGCUCUUGAUCGAAGCCCCGGUAAACGGCGGCCGUAACUAUAACGGUCCUAAGGUAGCGAAAUUCCUUGUCGGGUAAGUUCCGACCUGCACGAAUGGCGUAAUGAUGGCCAGGCUGUCUCCACCCGAGACUCAGUGAAAUUGAACUCGCUGUGAAGAUGCAGUGUACCCGCGGCAAGACGGAAAGACCCCGUGAACCUUUACUAUAGCUUGACACUGAACAUUGAGCCUUGAUGUGUAGGAUAGGUGGGAGGCUUUGAAGCGUGGACGCCAGUCUGCGUGGAGCCAACCUUGAAAUACCACCCUUUAAUGUUUGAUGUUCUAACGUUGGCCCCUGACCGGGGUUGCGGACAGUGUCUGGUGGGUAGUUUGACUGGGGCGGUCUCCUCCCAAAGCGUAACGGAGGAGCACGAAGGUUAGCUAAUCCUGGUCGGACAUCAGGAGGUUAGUGCAAUGGCAUAAGCUAGCUUGACUGCGAGCGUGACGGCGCGAGCAGGUGCGAAAGCAGGUCAUAGUGAUCCGGUGGUUCUGAAUGGAAGGGCCAUCGCUCAACGGAUAAAAGGUACUCCGGGGAUAACAGGCUGAUACCGCCCAAGAGUUCAUAUCGACGGCGGUGUUUGGCACCUCGAUGUCGGCUCAUCACAUCCUGGGGCUGAAGUAGGUCCCAAGGGUAUGGCUGUUCGCCAUUUAAAGUGGUACGCGAGCUGGGUUUAGAACGUCGUGAGACAGUUCGGUCCCUAUCUGCCGUGGGCGCUGGAGAAUUGAGGGGGGCUGCUCCUAGUACGAGAGGACCGGAGUGGACGCAUCACUGGUGUUCGGGUUGUCAUGCCAAUGGCACUGCCCGGUAGCUAAAUGCGGAAGAGAUAAGUGCUGAAAGCAUCUAAGCACGAAACUUGCCCCGAGAUGAGUUCUCCCUGAGACUNNNNNNNNNNNNNNNNNNNNNNNNNNNNNNNGACGUUGAUAGGCCGGGUGUGUAAGCGCAGCGAUGCGUUGAGCUAACCGGUACUAAUGAACCGUGAGGCUUAACCUUACAACGCCGAAG
rnacentral:rRNA from 1 species